rnacentral:rRNA from 1 species
CGUAGUUAGCCGAGACUUAUUCCUGUGCUACCGUCCUUCCUCUUCACACAGAAAAGCGGUUUACAACCCAAGGCCGUCAUCCCGCACGCGGCGUUGCUGCGUCAGACUUUCGUCCAUUGCGCAAUAUCCCUUA